UACGGAGGGUGCAAGCGUUAUCCGGAUUCACUGGGUUUAAAGGGUGCGUAGGCGGGCAGGUAAGUCCGUGGUGAAAUCUCUGAGCUUAACUCAGAAACUGCCAUGGAUACUAUUUGUUUGAAUAUUGUGGAGGUAAGCGGAAUAUGUCAUGUAGCGGUGAAAUGCUUAGAUAUGACAUAGAACACCAAUUGCGAAGGCAGCUUACUACACAGUUAUUGACGCUGAGGCACGAAAGCGUGGGAUCAAACAGG
rnacentral:rRNA from 1 species